GGAUGGCACGACUGGUAACACACGUUGGUUGAGGACAAAGUUACGGAGAGUUGUGGGUACGAAACCCAGCUCGGGUGUGUGGAGUACACCAAAGACAAUACCUGGGGCGGUAUAACAGAACAGAGGGCGGAGCAGAGGGUGGAAACCAAAAGCACAAAGUGAAACACGGACCAGAUCAUAAACAUACCUGGGGCGGUAAGACAACUGAGCGGCAAAGGCAUCCUGGGGCGGUAAGACUACACAGCGGUGAUGGCUCGGACAAACCUGCAGCGGUGAGACAGAAAGGUAGGCUGGACUGAGAGGCUGGACUGAGAGGCGGGACAAGUAGAGAGGUGGAGCAAGGAGGGGCGGAGCAGAGAGAGGGGAAGCAGGAGUUGAAAAGAAAGAAGGGAA
rnacentral:lncRNA from 1 species